rnacentral:lncRNA from 1 species
CACACACAAUUUUUCAUAGAUAUUCAUCAUUACUGAACUGAAAAACCGCUGACCUGAGAGUGUGCCUAAAUAAAAAGUUUUAAAAUAACCAGAGAGCUGUCUCUCUGUUAAAGUUGUUUAAAGUUGUAUUUUCACUCUUGCAGAUCUGUGGGCAUGAUGGACGUCACGCUGGAAGAAGAAGGACAGAGCGGUCAUCUUCCCUGAGCUGAAGCUCUAAGGUUAGAGGAUUUUCUUUGUACCACAGCUGCAGUUUCAUGUUUCAGCGCUGAGAUUUAACAGCUGAGAGUUGAGCUGAUUUUUAGGCUCCUUUGGUUCAAGUUUAUCUAUAGAGACAAUUAUCUGACUCUGUUACUCACAGAAACCUCUCUGCAGCCUCAGUUGUAGCACAAUGAAGGUUUCAACAUUAUCUAAAGGAGCCAAAGCUCUGUGCUUAUGUUUAUGAAUGUUAGAUAAAUUCUCUUUAGCUCCUCCAGGCUGAAAAAAAGGCUGUUUGAUUGUAUUAAAGAUGUAAUUAGCACAGUUUAACAGACAUUAAAGUGACAUUACUCUGUAUUUCAACACAGUAGAGUUAAAAAGUGGAGAGAAGCUGAAAACUAGAAAUCAGGUCUCAAAUGGCAGAUUUAUCAUUUUUAAUGUUUUUGUUUUUCAUUUAAUGAAGUAAUAGAAACAAAAAUACCUGAAACAAAAUUGCUAAACUUGAGUGAACUUUGUUCAGCUGUGGUAUUAUGACAACUCAACUUAACUUUAUUUGUAAAGCACUUUAAAAUAUUUUACUGUACCAAAGUGCUGUACAUAAACAGACAAAACAAUGCAGAUGUAAAAAAAACAAUCAAAAAACAAUUAAAACAAUGGAUAAAUCAAAAGCAGAAUUAAAAAGUAAAAUGUAGUUUCAAUGUUUUGAAAAACUAAUUUAAAAACAUAGAAACAAAUAACUAAAAACAAACCAUAAAACACUAAAACAGGAGCCGAGUCUCAUGCAGGGUUAAAAGCCAAUGAAUAAAAAUGGGUUUUAAAAAUGGACAGUGUGGGGGCUUGUUUGAUUUGAAGUGGUAGCUCAUGGGGCCGCAACAGUAAAAGAUUUAUCCCCUCUGAGCUUCAGUUUGGACCUCAGUACCUCCAGGAGCAGCUGAUCAGCUGACCUGAGGCACCGAGCAGGGGUGUAGGGGUGGAGAAGCUCAGAGAGGUAAGAUGGAGUCAGAUCAUUUAAAGAUUGAAAAACAAAUAAAAGAAUCUUACUAACUGGAGAAGUGAGAGGGAGGACUGGCUGACUCCAAAGUAAAGUGCGUUACAGUAAUCCAGCCGAGAUGUAACAAAGGCAUGGAUUACUGUUUCAAAGUGCUUACAUGCAAGCAUGCUAGCAAGCUGCCUAAUAUGAUGAAAGCUAGAUUUCACAACUGAGCUAAUUUGCAUGUCAAAUUUAAAAUCACUGGCUUUAAAUAGUCUGCUAAAAUACCCAGGUCUACAGGAGGGGAUUCACAAGGGCCACUGGGACCAAAGACAAGAUUUUUUUUUUAAUUAAAAUAAAAAUAAAAUAAGACAGGGGAUAAUAAAAUAAAAAGGGAACAAAAAUCAAAGUUCUGUCUAAAGCCAUUAAUGAAAGUCAUAUAUUUAUGUUAACAUGAUCCAGUGAUUUGCUUUACAUGAUUAUUAAAUAAUAAAGGAACUAGAGAAAUACAGAGUUGUGUGAUACACUUGAAAAAAUAUGUAAAUAUAAAUAAUCCAUUUAAUAGAUAAAUAAAAAACCACAGCAAUUAUCUGAAAAUACCAUCCAUUCACCUGAUUUUCAAGAAUAUGUUUUAUUCUGUUUCAAAAGCAGCAUUUACAGGAAUAUCAACAUUCAACAGAACUGAAACAAGACUGCACAUGAUAGAAGAUUAAAACAUGUCUGAAGUGAUGAGUACAAAUAGAUGUCAGAUAUGCUUCACCUUAAAAACCACAACUUUCUCUUGUUUGCUCCACCCACAAUUUUUCAUAGAUAUUCAUCAUGGAAAAGUCCUGAAAAAUAGAUAUUUUUCAGGACUCUACACCGGACUGUCCCUGGAGUCGGGUGGACCACCAUCUUCAUGUGGCGGCCUUCCUCCAUCGGCGUCCCGUUCAGGUAGAGGCGUUCAGCUGCUCCUGUGAUGCUGUUCAGAGUCUGAUUAUCAGUCCAUCUUUUCACUGACUGAUCAGAGACUGAGAGUGAAGCUGAACUACCUCAUUGAUAACUCCUUAGGUGUCUCUAGUAAUUAAUCUUUAACAUUUAACAAUUUUUUUUAUUAAUGAAUAAAGAGGAGUCUCAAUUUAUCUCCACAGCUUCACUCUCAGUCUCUGAUCAGUCAGUGAAAAGACAUGGGGGGAGAUUUGUCUCAAAGUUAUGCACAAAUAUGUAUCCACAAUUUCCACAUGUGACUUUCAGAUCCACAAAUAUAUUUCCAUGAUUUUCACGUGUUUUUUAAAUUUGUGUUUGUGCAUUUAUCAUGAUUCAUCAUUCGUAAAUCAUCAAUUCUGCUAUUGAAUUGUUGAAAAAUGUGUUUGUGGAUAAACCGGCACGUGUGUUUAUUUUUGAGACAAAUAUCACAGUUUUGAAGACACACACAAGUUGAGGAUUUUCACCUGAGGAGAACACUGCCUCUCCCAUCCACUGGGCAGCAGUGUUUCUCCCUCUGUUGAGAGCAUAGACUGUGAAUAAGAUAGUUGACAGCUAUCCACCUUAGAAGUGGGGAGAAGUUUCUCUGCUUCUAUAGUGGAUAGCUGUAAAUAAUCCCUUUCAUAGUCUAUGCCCUUAACAGAGAGACAGAGAGCUAUUUACACAAAUGUUGUAAAGUUUAACCCAAAAUAAACUCAAAUUCUGAUGAUUUAUUUGUUGUAUUUUAUGGUACAGGUGCUCGCAGUUGGACUCGACAUAUUGGAAGAAGAGGAGGAUCAUCAAACAGAGCAGCGGAUACUCUCAGGUGAUGUUAUCAUCUGUGUUUUUAAAGUUCAUCAGUGUUUAAGUCACUGGAAAAUUAAUCAUUGCGUUGUAGAUGAGACAUGACUUUAAGAAAACGUAGAGCUUGAAACAUCAGGGUUAUGAUUAAAUUAAUUUAUUCACCAAAAAUCACAAAUCGGCUGAUAUUAAUGUUUUUUUUUUGUUUUGUUUAAUUUGCUGCAUGAAAAAGAACAAGCAGAAGUAUGAUAAAAUUUUCUGUAAAUGUUUCUGUAAAUUAAAUCAGUCUAAGGUUUUUUGGUCAUGACUUUAAAGUUACGAUAUGACUAAAGCAGCUGCUUUUUCUUUUGUUGGGUUAAAAGUGACAAACUAAUUGUCUCUCUUCUUUUCUUUCAGGACCAACUGUGGAGUUUUUUCCUUUUGUGAAUUGUUUUCCUUUGUUCUUGUUGUUACUUAGCAUUUUUGGAGGAGUCUGACAGCUAAAACCCACAGAAUCUGGAAUGGCUGCACUCUUGAUCCAGCACGCGGAUCAAAUACACAAGCAUCAUAAUCAGUGUGCGUGAUUCUACAGAGUCGGUCCACUGUCCGGCUCCACUGCAGAUCGGCGGUUGGAUUAGAUACACAAGACUUCAAUUUUUGACACCGCAGCACAGCGCAGCACAAGCAGCAGCGGAAGUUGUAUGCGGUUACAGAGUAAAAUACCUGGUUAAUUUUCAAAAUAAAGUCAACACAUUGAACUGUUCUUCACUUAAUAAUAGUAGAAGCCAGGGUUGUGGGAUGUGGGUGUUUUAUAUAUACCGCUGUUUAUAUGCACUGAUCGGCAGAUCUCAUUCAAUGUCUCAUGGUGAAACACGCGAGUUCUCAUGAGACCUUGUCCAGUCUCGCGAGAAACAUCGGUUAUAUCGUGAGCGCUUCUCCUUUGCUUGCUGCAGCAGAUCAGAUCCGGUGGGCGCUGUAUGCUUGGGUAUUUGAUCCGCCUGCUGGUCUGGAGCGGAGUGGAACCGUUCUGGAUCUUGUGGAAUCCCCGGGUUACUGUGUGUUUAUUUAGUUGGAAUGUAGUUUAGUAAAGUUAGGUACAGGCAGUGAAGGUAGGAGUUUUAUUUUAUUUCUUUGAAACAAGAGAGAUCUUGAGCUUCCCUUUUAGGUACUUGCUUCACUCUCUGAUAGGUAGGUUGGAGAUUGAGCUGCCUAUAAAAGGAGAGCAGAAUUACUCCCAAGGGAGGAAGAUGUGCCCUUGUUUAAUCUCAUUUAAGACUCAAUUUGUUUGAUCUUGGGAGAAGCUUGUAGUUUUUAAUGGAAACUUUAUAUGUGGACUUGACUGUAAAUGAAAAAAUAUUCACUGCUAAGAAAACAGCAGUCUGUCAAGUUGUCUUCAUGGGGGGACCAACAAGUUCAUAAAUAAAAAACACACAGACACA